rnacentral:piRNA from 1 species
UGAAGUCCCAAGGAGACUACGUGCAGACCU